ACGGAAGGCAGCAGUCGGGAAUAUUGCGCAAUGGAGGAAACUCUGACGCAGUGACGCCGCGUAUAGGAAGAAGGUUUCGGAUUGUAAACUAUUGUCGUGAGGGAAGAAAUUUGACAGUACCUCAGGAGGAAGCUCCGGCUAACUAUGUGCCAGCAGCCGCGGUAAUACAUAGGGAGCAAGCGUUAUCCGGAUUUAUUGGGUGUAAAGGGUGCGUAGACGGAGAAGCAAGUUAGUUGUGAAAUCCCUCGGCUUAACUGAGGAACUGCAACUAAAACUACUUCCCUUGAGUGUCGGAGAGGAAAGUGGAAUUCCUAGUGUAGCGGUGAAAUGCGUAGAUAUUAGGAGGAACACCAGUGGCGAAGGCGACUUUCUGGACGAUUACUGACGUUGAGGUACGAAAGUGUGGGGAGCAAACAGGAUUAGAUACCCUGGUA
rnacentral:rRNA from 1 species